GAUGAACGCUGGCGGCGUGCCUAAUACAUGCAAGUCGAGCGAACAGAUGAGGAGCUUGCUCCUCUGACGUUAGCGGCGGACGGGUGAGUAACACGUGGAUAACCUACCUAUAAGACUGGGAUAACUUCGGGAAACCGGAGCUAAUACCGGAUAAUAUAUUGAACCGCAUGGUUCAAUAGUGAAAGACGGUUUUGCUGGCACUUAUAGAUGGAUCCGCGCCGCAUUAGCUAGUUGGUAAGGUAACGGCUUACCAAGGCAACGAUGCGUAGCCGACCUGAGAGGGUGAUCGGCCACACUGGAACUGAGACACGGUCCAGACUCCUACGGGAGGCAGCAGUAGGGACUCCUCCGCAAUGGGCGAAACCCUGACGGAGCAACGCCGCGUGAGUGAUGAAGGUCUUCGGAUCGUAAAACUCUGUUAUUCGGGAAGAACAAAUGUGUAAGUAACUAUGCACGUCUUGACGGUACCUAAUCAGAAAGCCCCGGCUAACUACGUG
rnacentral:rRNA from 1 species